rnacentral:rRNA from 1 species
UACGGGGGGGGGCAAGCGUUGUUCGGAAUUACUGGGCGUAAAGGGCGCGUAGGCGGUCAGCACAAGUCAGUUGUGAAAUCUCCGGGCUUAACUCGGAAAGGUCAACUGAUACUGUGCGACUAGAGUGCGGAAGGGGCAACUGGAAUUCUCGGUGUAGCGGUGAAAUGCGUAGAUAUCGGGAGGAACACCAGUGGCGAAGGCGACUACCUGGCCUGUUCUUGACGCUGAGGCGCGAAAGCUAGGGGAGCAAACGGG